rnacentral:rRNA from 1 species
UAGCGGCGAGCGAAACGGGAAGAGCCCAGCGCUGAAUCCUGCGGCCCAGGCGGGCCGCCGGGAAAUGUAGCGUUAGGGAGGAGAGUAAUAUAUACACGCGCGGUCAUUAGUCACGGCUGCCUGUCCAAGUUCAUCUUGAACGGGGCCCGCUUACCCGCAGAGGGUGCCAGGCCCGUGGUGACGGUAGCCGGCCGCGACGGUCUCUCUCCCAAGAGUCGGGUUGCUUGAGAGUGCAGCCGUAAGUGGGUGGUAAACUCCAUCUAAGGCUAAAUACUACCACGAGACCGAUAGCGAACAAGUACCGUGAGGGAAAGUUGAAAAGAACUUUGAAGAGAGAGUUAAAGAGUACGUGAAACCGUUCAGGGGUAAACCUGUGGAACUCAAACGAGCGAACGGGGAGAUCAUCGUGUCUUCCGUCGGGGCCCGCGUCUCGGUGCACACCUCCGCCCUUCGGCGCUCCGGCGUCGGGGCGGGGGGUGUCCGGGUGCGCAGCCGGGCCCCCGGAGCGCGUGCACUUCUCCCUUAGUAUAACACCGCGACCCGUUGCGCCCCGGUCGAAUGCGCCGUGCGGUCGUCCCGCCCCGCUCCGCGGGGCGGAGCCGCGGCGUCCACGGCCGAGGCUUAUUGUUUAAACACACUGAAGCGACGGUAGAGAACGAGGAUCGCGUCCGCCCCUCGCGGGCGUCCGUCGCGUCACAGCGGCUACCUUCUCGUGGCCCCCGGCGUCUAGCGCGUCGCGGGUGUCGCGUUUCGGCUGUCCGUGGUUAGUGGCGCGCUCUCGGACGGGACGCGCCCCGGUCGGCGGUGGUUUUGUUUUGGGCACUCACAGGACCCGUCUUGAAACACGGACCAAGGAGUCUAGCAUGUGCGCGAGUCAUUGGGAACACUGAUAAACCCAGAGGCGAAAUGAAAGUGAAAGGCCGGCCUCGAGCCGGCCGCAGGGAAGAUGCGCGGACGUCGUCAGACGCCCCGCCGCAUUCCCGAGGCGUUUCGAGAAAGCCCCCGUGCGAUUAUCGAGACGCACUGAGAGCGUACACGCUGGGACCCGAAAGAUGGUGAACUAUGCCUGGNNNGAACUGGGUAUAGGGGCGAAAGACUAAUCGAACUAUCUAAUAGCUGGUUCCAUCCGAAGUUUCCCUCAGGAUAGCUGGCGCUCGAGAAACAUGACGGCCGGUCCGCCGGUCGUCAUUCUGACAGUCUCAUCCGGUAAAGCGAAUGAUUAGAGGCAUUGGGGCCGAAAUGGCCUCAACCUAUUCUCAAACUUUAAAUGGGUGAGAUCUCCUUCUUGCUCGAAGAUGAAGUAGGAGCUCGGAUGGGAGUGCCAAGUGGGCCAAUUUUGGUAAGCAGAACUGGCGCUGUGGGAUGAACCAAACGUCGAGUUAAGGCGCCCAAUGAACGCUCAUCGGAGACCAUAAAAGGCGUUGGUCGCUCAUGACAGCAGGACGGUGGCCAUGGAAGUCGGAAUCCGCUAAGGAGUGUGUAACAACUCACCUGCCGAAGCAACCAGCCCUGAAAAUGGAUGGCGCUGUAGCGUUCAGCCUAUACUCGACCGUCGCAGGCAAGCGGGACGUUCGUGAGGCCUCGCGCCGCGCGAUCGUUUUGAAGCCGCGACGAGUAGGAUGGCCGCGGCGGUGUGCGCAGAAGGGUCUGGGCGUGAGCCCGCCUGGAGCCUCCGUCGGCGCAGAUCUUGGUGGUAGUAGCAAAUACUCAAGCGAGGUCCUUGAGGGCUGAUGUGGAGAAGGGUUUCGCGUUAACAGCCGUUGCACGCGAGUUAGUCGAUCCUAAGCCCUAGGAGAAAUCCGAUGUUGAUGAUGGUGUAAAGUUAUGUAUUACAAUAAUGAUAAUGAUAUCACACCCGUCGGGCGAAAGGGAAUCCGGUUGCAGUUCCGGAACCCGGCUGCGGAACCGUCUUAAAAAUCGUUCCCUCGCAAGAGAGUUCGUCGGGGUAACCCAAAGUGGCCUGAAGACGCCGACGGGAGAUCCGGAGAGAGUUAUCUUUUCUGCCUGAGCGUUCGAGCGCCCUGGAAUCCCAUAGCGGGGAGAUAGGGCUCGGGACGCGAAGAGCAUCGCCGAUGCGGCGGUGUCCGGAUCGGYYYYYCGGACCUUGAAAAUUCAGGUGAGGGAUACGCGGAGAUGUCGCGCCGGCUCGUACCCAUAUCCGCAGCAGGUCUCCAAGGUGAAGAGCCUCUAGCCGAUAGAAUAAUGUAGGUAAGGGAAGUCGGCAAGUUGGAUCCGUAACUUCGGGAUAAGGAUUGGCUCUGAGGGCCGUGGCGUGUCGGGCCUGGUCGGGAAGAGGUCAUCGGCCGAGACGUGGAAGCCGGGCGGGGUCUCCCCGCGUGGCGCCUCAACGGGUGUCGCGCGGGUGUGGAUCUCCGUCACCCGGCGCCUCGCCUUGGCCACCCCUCGGAUCUUCCUCGCUGUGUGGCGCCGGCGUGUUCGCGCACGCUCGGUGACCUGUACGGCCGCCGGACGACGGUCAACUCAGAACUGGCACGGACAAGGGGAAUCCGACUGUCUAAUUAAAACAAAGCAUUGCGAUGGCCCUCGCGGGUGUUGACGCAAUGUGAUUUCUGCCCAGUGYUCUGAAUGUCAAUGUGAAGAAAUUCAAUUWAGCGCGGGUAAAYGGCGGGAGUAACUAUGACUCUCUUAAGGUAGCCAAAUGCCUCGUCAUCUAAUUAGUGAYGCGCAUGAAUGGAUUAACGAGAUUCCC